rnacentral:ncRNA from 1 species
GUAGAUGCGUAGAAGAGAAAAGUAGUUUUGAUGGAGUUUAUAAGCGAAUCAGGAAAUAGUGUGAGCCUGAGUAAAAUCACAAAAUGAAAGACAUCUUGGAGCAUAUUAUCUGAAGUUUAUUAGGAUAAUACGGUUUCUACCGUUAAAAUGAUAGAGAGAAUCAAUUUAUUUGUUUUAAAUAAAAGGAUGGCACCGUGGAAAGCCUUCACUCCUUAAUGGAGUGAAGGCUUUUUGGUUACCAAUAAAUUGAUUAAUCAGGGUGGUACCGCGUUUAAAAUCGUCCCUUUU